rnacentral:rRNA from 1 species
AUGAGGCACUAUUUUGUGGAGAAUCCCACAUACCCCGAGUCAUACUUUCGUCGCCGGUUUAGGAUGAGCACCGAGUUGUUCAGACGCAUCACAGAGAAACUAGCGAGCCAUAUGCGGUUUUUUCAGCAGAGGAGGAAUGCCGCCGGAGAGCUUGGGCAUAGCACCUUUCAGAAGGUGACAGCCGCUUUGCGUAUGUUGGCAUACGGUAUCCCCGAGUUGAUGAUCACUUGGCCAAGGUUGAGAGCCAAGCCAUCAUGUGUGUCAAGCGCUUGCGGGUCGCCAGGUAUGCUUGGUUCAAUAGAUUGCAUGCAUUGGAGUUGGAAGAAUUGUCCAAAGGCAUGGCAUGGCCAAUUCCACGGACAAAAAAGGGUUCCACUAUAA